GACGUAGGGGGCGAGCGUUGUCCGGAUUUAUUGGGCGUAAAGCGUGCGUAGGCGGCUGCGCAAGUCGGUUGUGAAACCCCGGGGCUCAACCCCGGAACUGCAUCCGAUACUGCGUGGCUAGAGGUAGGUAGGGGAGAUCGGAAUUCCUGGUGUAGCGGUGAAAUGCGCAGAUAUCAGGAGGAACACCAAUGGCGAAGGCAGCUCGCUGGGACGUGACUGACGCUGAGACGCGAAAGCGUGGGGAGCAAACAGG
rnacentral:rRNA from 1 species